GCCUUCGUGGUGUAGUGGUCAGCACGCUUGACGCGUAACCGAGAGGUCCGUGGUUCGAUUCCCGGCAAAGGCG
rnacentral:tRNA from 1 species